rnacentral:rRNA from 1 species
GGCCUCUUCGGAGGUACUCGAGUGGCGAACGGGUGAGUAACACGUGGGCAAUCUGCCCUGCACUUCGGGAUAAGCCUGGGAAACUGGGUCUAAUACCGGAUAGGACCUCAAGACGCAUGUCUUCUGGUGGAAAGCUUUUGCGGUGUGGGAUGGGCCCGCGGCCUAUCAGCUUGUUGGUGGGGUGACGGCCUACCAAGGCGACGACGGGUAGCCGGCCUGAGAGGGUGUCCGGCCACACUGGGACUGAGAUACGGCCCAGACUCCUACGGGAGGCAGCAGUGGGGAAUAUUGCACAAUGGGCGCAAGCCUGAUGCAGCGACGCCGCGUGGGGGAUGACGGCCUUCGGGUUGUAAACCUCUUUCACCAUCGACGAAGGUCCGGGUUUUCUCGGAUUGACGGUAGGUGGAGAAGAAGCACCGGCCAACUACGUGCCAGCAGCCGCGGUAAUACGUAGGGUGCGAGCGUUGUCCGGAAUUACUGGGCGUAAAGAGCUCGUAGGUGGUUUGUCGCGUUGUUCGUGAAAUCUCACGGCUUAACUGUGAGCGUGCGGGCGAUACGGGCAGACUAGAGUACUGCAGGGGAGACUGGAAUUCCUGGUGUAGCGGUGGAAUGCGCAGAUAUCAGGAGGAACACCGGUGGCGAAGGCGGGUCUCUGGGCAGUAACUGACGCUGAGGAGCGAAAGCGUGGGGAGCGAACAGG